ACAGGAAGUUAUAAACAAUCAACACAACAGUGAAACUGGCUGGCUACUACUACAACAUUUGACUGAAUCUGUGAAUGCAACGACGCAACUGAACAAAGAUUCAGGAGAUUGUUUCAUAUGGGAAGAGCACUUCGAAGAUAAGUUGAAAUGGCAACAGACCAUUAGCUAUUUUGAACAUCGGAUGCUGUGUUAUUGUGGUCACUCGUUACUUUAACUGACGUAGCUAACGAUAGCUAUCUUGCGACUUUGUGUUGACAAGUAGUUAAUGUAGCUAGCUUGCCAUCAACAAGAGUCGGUAGCUAUCUAGUUAGCUAAUUAUUGACACCUCCAAUAUAGACGUGGAAACGUUAACGGUAGCUAUAUGACAACGUUACGCCAUCUGAUUUGUGGCGUAUGUUUUAUAACCAACCUGCUGCUAACGACCUCCAGCUAGUUGUUGCUAGCUAAGUUACCUAAUAAGUUAUCCAGUAACAAUAGUGUUUAGCUAGCUAACUUAGGUAACAGUUAGCUAUACAUUUUUAUUUUUGGUAACGUUCGUUUCAGAGGAGCUACCAUUGCUACAUUGAUCGAUCUGUUUUGACACAUUUCCUCUGGACACUGGGAUUCUGGGGCUAGCAGAACAGUAUUUAAAGAGCAUGUCUACCUCCAACUUCAAAAACAAAUGUGUCACUCAAGUGAAUUGUGUAUACUGUGAGAGUCUACUCUGCACAAGAGGAAUGAAGGCAGUACUUCUUGCAGACACAGAAAUUGAGCUGUUUUCUACGGACAUACCUCCCAACAGAACUGUUGACUUUGUGGCCAGCUGCUACUCUACAGAAAGCUGCAGAUGCAAACUGAGAGAUAUCGCCUGCCUGAAAUGGUAUGUAUUUAACGUUACUGUAAUCACAGGUUUGCCUGCUCACGUCACUCUAACCUGUUUGCAUCGCCAUAUAAUCCUAUGUGCUUUAUGUUAAUAAAAUAACAGCGCAAACACUGUGGUGGCUGUUUUGGUGGGGGUGUUGUUUAAUUCAUAUUUAUAUUGACAAAUACCAAUGUAAAUGCAUGCAAAUGUCCAUGUGUUGUGCUUCAGUAGGAAAGUUGUUCAGCCAGCAGUUUGGUGGGUACAGGAAGGCUUUUGUCAGGCCCCUUUUGUUUCUCCUGUGCUUUGUUGUUGUUCACAGAAACGCAUUGGGUAGAUAAUAGACACCUACUGCCUACUGAUAGUUAGCACUUUCACAGGUGCUCCCUAUAAAAAGCUGACAUGUUUUUUUGUUUCUCUCUCUCACCCUCCCUCUCUACAUAUAAAUUUCCCCCUCCCCGUUUCUCUGUAUCGAUUUCCUCCUCUCUGCCUCCCCUCUCUCCCCCUCUUCAGUGGUAAUGUUGUGGGGUAUCACGUGGUCGCUCCCUGUAAGCCCUGCUUGCUGUCCUGUAACAAUGGCCAUUUCUGGAUGUUUAACAGUGAUGCUGUGUCCACCCUCAACCGACUGGAUGCUACAGGUUAAAACUUCUUUCACUCACUGUCUCCCAGCACACUGGCCUCUUACAGUACCUGCUCAUGAAGAAUACAGACUGUAUCCCAAGAGGAAUGUCCUGAACCCAAAGGAGUUAGUUAAAGUAAAUGUAAAGAAGAAUUUCCCCUAAAUGCAUAGUUUGUGACAAGAUGCAACACCGACUGACACAAUGUUUGGCAUUGUGUGUGUACUCUUCCUAUCUCUACUACCACAUCAGUUUAAACUUGUUGCUGUGGGGAGACCUUCCCGAGCUAGAGGACAGUGAGAACGAGGAAUCAGAAAGCCCAUCAGAGGAGGAGUGUAUCAGGUAGAGAGGGAUGAGAGAUGGAGGAGCAAGACCUACCAGAACCCCCAGGAACAGAUGGAGAAGAAGCAGUGAGCGAAAGAGGAGAGGGGGGCUUACCCUGUGACCACAUCCCCCUUCCCAACAUCUGUCUGUUAGAAACACUCUCCGAUCUUUCUCCUCUCUCUCUCUCUCUCUCUCUCUCUCUCUCUCUCUCUCUCUCUCUGGGCGAAACCAAUGAUAGAACUGGACUGUCGGAACUGCCCUCUCUCCUCAAACUCACAACUGAACCCCCAAUCAAACAAACUCAUCUUUCUGAUUCACCGACGGACAGACAGCCGGAUGGAUGGAUGGUCUCAACAUUUCACAUGGCUGUUUUAUACCCUUUGGGUUGCCUAUUGCCAUUGGACACUGGAUUGAACAUUGUAUGCUGUGUUUUAGAUUUGUGUCAGUCCUGUGUUGGUCCUUGAACAAUCACGAUGAUGUUGUGUUUCGGUUUCAGAAUCUGACAUUGUUUACAUUGAGUAUUUGCCAGUUUAUCUUGUCACUCUUUCAUGAGGAGGGCCAGUGUGAUCAACAAAUGGUACUAGAACAUAGACUAUAGAUACGAGUUUGGUUCUAGGGCGCCUCUGUGGUGGGACUGAAGAUGCUCUAGGAAAACAGAUUAAGCCUAAUUACGCACAUGUCACCCGAACCUGGCGAAGGAGCCAGACAGAAAAUACAUGAUCGUGAAAAGGAAAGUUGACGUCCACUCACUACAUUGUUGACAUAGUAACAAUAUUGCAGCAAAAAACAGUGAGAGCGUUGCUAUCCUAACCCAGUAUGAUUGAACACUUGAACGGUUGUGUGCUUGUCAGAGCACUAUAUGAGUAUACUGUAUAUUUGAGUAUGGAUCACUUAUAUAAAGGAGUGCGUGUGUCGAGCAGAACUUUCUAUUGCUGCUGAAGCUUUUGCUUCAGCCAACCUUCUCGACUUGUAUUCUAAUGGCCUUGGAUCGGAUUUGUAUUCUGUGGAGAACUGACUGUCAUCGCAGGAGGUCAUGCUCACCCUCUCACUGGAGCUAAAAUGUGUUCGCUAGCUUUGUUUUGAUGCAUCGGUGCCCAGCAAGUACUGUCGCAAUGAGUGACAUAUCUUAAAUUAGCGUUAAUAUACCUCCCAGUUCAAGCAGACAAGCUAUGCCUGUGUUAAAAGGAUAUGUUGAAGCUUACAUGGGAAAUUAUUUUGGGGUCGUAACGAGCAGUACGAAAGGUAGACAUGCACACCAAAUACCUGAAAUGGCAGUCACCAAUUUGAAAUGGCAGUCACCAAGGCCCAGCGCAGUCAAAAUGUGAUUGUUUUAUGUUUCCACACUGAGGUUGGAAUAAUACUGUGAAAUUGUGAAUAUGAUGAUAAUGCCCUUUUAGUGUGAGAGCUGUUUGAAAAGACCACCUGAAGUUUCAGCCUGUUUUGGUGGGAUGGAGUUUUGAUGUGCCUGGUAUCACCACCAGGCAGUGAAUUGGUUAAUGGACCAAUAAGAAAGAGUUCCAAACCUCUCGGCCAAUAACAACUAGUUUUCCGUUUCCCCUCCCCACUCAGACCACUCCGAUAGUCUUAGCAAAAUUCUUGCUUGAGAAAUUGCUCUUUGCUAAAAAGCUAUUUUUGCUUAUUUUUGACCAUUUUAAUAAACUAUCACAGCAAGGUACUUGAUUGUUACCCAGAAGUGAGUCCAUAUUGAGAUGAAAGCCACUGCGUUGGACCGUUUUAAAUGAUGUUCUAAGCUCUGGCUUAGUGGAUCACAUCUUAUGAUUAUCUCAAUCCCACAGACAAUCUCUUUCCACUUAAAUGUUCCCUUUGUUUCAUUUUCAUUCACAAAAGCAAUGCUUUGUAGUGUACUGUCGUUUUUUUAUUUUUCUCUGUUUAUUUUACAUUUCACUUGCAUUUGAGUGUUACGUUUGGAGGCUGAUUUUUGUUUUGAAGUUUUACCUUAGUGAAGGUAUCACCUGAGAGCUUCCUAUAGCAUAGGACAAUAGGGAGAUAAUCGAAGACCAUCAAAACAGUGACCAAUUAAAAAAAAAAAUAGAAAUCUCCCUUGAAUAUGAUUAACUUCAGUAGCGUGCUUUUAUUUAUUAAUUUUAAUGUAUGUAUUUAUUAACAGGCAUUUGCUGUGUUUAUACUGAUGUGACUUGCCCUGCUGAAAAAAACAUGUAUA
rnacentral:lncRNA from 1 species